CAGUCGCCGCGGUAAUACGUAGGUGGCAAGCGUUGUCCGGAAUUAUUGGGCGUAAAGGGCUCGCAGGCGGUUUCUUAAGUCUGAUGUGAAAGCCCCCGGCUCAACCGGGGAGGGUCAUUGGAAACUGGGAAACUUGAGUGCAGAAGAGGAGAGUGGAAUUCCACGUGUAGCGGUGAAAUGCGUAGAGAUGUGGAGGAACACCAGUGGCGAAGGCGACUCUCUGGUCUGUAACUGACGCUGAGGAGCGAAAGCGUAGGGAGCGAACAGGAUUAGAGACCCGAGUAGUCCCUGUCUCUUAUAC
rnacentral:rRNA from 1 species